rnacentral:rRNA from 1 species
AUUGAACGCUGGCGGCAGGCCUAACACAUGCAAGUCGAACGAAGCCUUCGGGCUUAGUGGCGGACGGGUGAGUAACACGUGGGAACGUACCUUUUGGUUCGGAACAACUCAGGGAAACUUGAGCUAAUACCGGAUGAGCCCUUAGGGGGAAAGAUUUAUCGCCGAAAGAGCGGCCCGCGUUAGAUUAGCUAGUUGGUGAGGUAAAGGCUCACCAAGGCUACGAUCUAUAGCUGGUCUGAGAGGAUGAUCAGCCACACUGGGACUGAGACACGGCCCAGACUCCUACGGGAGGCAGCAGUGGGGAAUCUUGCGCAAUGGGCGAAAGCCUGACGCAGCCAUGCCGCGUGAAUGAUGAAGGUCUUAGGAUUGUAAAAUUCUUUUACCAGGGACGAUAAUGACGGUACCUGGAGAAAAAGCCCCGGCUAACUUCGUGCCAGCCGCCGCGGUAAUAC